GUACUGAUGAACAGUCCAAACUAGGACGAAACAGCUGCCCAGUAC
rnacentral:hammerhead_ribozyme from 1 species